UAGGACCUUAACCUUUAACUUUUCCUGACAGGACAAAAAACAUGUGUUCACAACGCCCACCCUUAUUGAUUCUCUUGGUAAGGAAGAAGAGAGGAUCAUAAACUAGAAGUGAAAAAGUGGAGAAAAAUGAUGCUUGCCUCACUCUGCUGUAACAAAUGAAUAGACAGGUUCCGGCCCUGUCAUGCAGGCUUGAGGACAGUGGCAUGAUCAUAACUCCCUGCAGCCUUGGCCUCCUGGGCUCAAGUGAUCCUCCUGCCUCGGCCUCCCAAAGUGUUGGGAUUACAGGGACCUAGUUCUGCUCCCAUGUGACUCACUGGAGGUGGCAAGAUUGUUGAUGGAGGCAGCGUUGUGGAGGACUGUGUGGAGACUCUUAAUGAAAGAUCCUCAGCUCAGACUUACCACAGAGAGAACAGAAGCAACUGCAUUCAAAUGGACCAUGGGGCUUGGACAAUGUGCACUUUGGUGACGACUGAAAUUUCCAGUUAGGGUACACCUUCUCCUUGGCCAUCUCCACUGUUGUAUCAUUUUUGGGAGGAAAAUGAGCUCUUAAACAUUACUGAAAUGCAGUUUCCCAUGACUGAGGGUGGAGACUUAAGCAUACCUAUCUUAUUUCUUAAAAUAAAGAAAUGUAACUCUGAGGGUCAAGGAACUUCUUUUAUUUACAUACCUUUUAA